rnacentral:rRNA from 1 species
CGGAGGGGCUAGCGUUGUUCGGAAUUACUGGGCGUAAAGCGCACGUAGGCGGACCAGCAAGUUAGGGGUGAAAUCCCGGGGCUCAACCCCGGAACUGCCCUUAAAACUGUUGAUCUGGAGUUCGAGAGAGGUGAGUGGAAUUCCGAGUGUAGAGGUGAAAUUCGUAGAUAUUCGGAGGAACACCAGUGGCGAAGGCGGCUCACUGGCUCGAUACUGACGCUGAGGUGCGAAAGCGUGGGGAGCAAACAGGAUU